rnacentral:rRNA from 1 species
GAUGGACGCUGGCGGCGUGCCUAACACAUGCAAGUCGAACGGAGAUUACGGACGGAAGUUUUCGGAUGGAAGCCUGUAAUUCUUAGUGGCGGACGGGUGAGUAACGCGUGGGCAACCUGCCCUAUACAGGGGGAUAGCAGCUGGAAACGGCUGGUAAGACCGCAUAAGUCGGUUAAAUCGCAUGAUUUGAUCGGGAAAUGAGCAAUCAGGUAUAGGAUGGGCCCGCGUCCGAUUAGCCAGUUGGCAGGGUAAAAGCCUACCAAAGCGACGAUCGGUAGCCGGACUGAGAGGUCGGACGGCCACAUUGGGACUGAGACACGGCCCAAACUCCUACGGGAGGCAGCAGUGGGGGAUAUUGCACAAUGGAGGAAACUCUGAUGCAGCGACGCCGCGUGAGUGAAGAAGUAUUUCGGUAUGUAAAGCUCUAUCAGCAGGGAAGAUGAUGACGGUACCUGACUAAGAAGCCCCGGCUAACUACGUG